UUUCUUUCCUCAUUCAUUCUUGUCCUCCUCUUCCGACGAGAUACAGAGAGCAAGAUUGAGAGAGUGAGAGAUAGAGAACGAGAGGGUGAGAGAAUAGAGAGACCGAGAAUGAGAGAUGAAAUUGGGAGAGAGAGAGAGAGAGAGAGAGAGAAGACCGAUUGAAAAGGGAGAGAAUCGGAGACGCAGAGAGAAGCUGUGAGGCCCGAUCCUCCGUGGGUCUGAUUUCCGGCGAACUCGAGAGGUAGGGAGAGAAAUCAGAAGCCGAUUUCCGACGGGUCAAAGUGAUUUCCGGCGACUGGGUAGAAAAUCAUCCCUUUGAUGAUUUCCGAUGGGUGCGAAGUCCGGUGGCCAGAGACGCGAUUUUCGGCAAUCAUCGCCGGUGUGCCAGGGCUGUGAUUUCCGGUACAUUUCUUUGUGUUUGAGCAGAGAUCCUCUAGGAGAAACGGUUUCGAGGAUAACCGCUAAUGGACUAACGUACUCUUCUCAAACAUUGCAUAUCGUCCGAACGGUGUUGCCUUGUAGUCCGGACGGAUGCAUGCUGCGUUGGCAGAAUCUUCUUGACAUAGAAGGGUGUUCAGACGCUUCACUGGCCCGUCCGGAUGUGUAACGAUUCGCACUUUUACAAAAAGGCGUAAGUGAAAAUUCUGGUUUCCACGUAUUUUUAUGACAUCAUCAGAGUAUAAAUUGGCAGUGAAAAAUAAUUUUUCUUUACAA